CCGAAACCAAUAAAUUUAUACUUUCAUUUAAUUUACAAUUUAUAUUUAUUUAGUAAAAUAAUUGAAUUAUGUAUGUUUUUAUUAUAUUUCAGGUUUUCAUUGGUACAUAACUGCGCUGUGUGCAUAUUAUGUUUAUGUGGCAAAGAGGCUAUGUGAGUAAAGCUGCGUAUCCUAAGUUUGUGAUGCUGGCAGAAAGCCUAUACAAAACCAGAACAAAGCUCAAGGAACGGACAAAGGACUCUCAGGAAUAUUAGACAGAAGCAGAAAAACAUUGUACAAGUAACUACAUUUUUAAGAUAAGUAUUAAAUUAUCUGACAUUGUUAUACUGCUCUAAUUUUUAGUCGACACUAGCUUUUAGAAGUUUGGAGCGAAGCACCAGUUUCGGAAAAUCUAUUCAUAGCGGAUAUGUACCUACGCAUGCUCGCUGCCAGAUUAAAAGUG